AGGGUUUGAUUAUGGCUCAGGAUGAACGCUAGCGGGAGGCCUAACACAUGCAAGCCGAGCGGUAUUUGUCUUUCGGGACAGAGAGAGCGGCGUACGGGUGCGGAACACGUGUGCAACCUGCCUUUAUCUGGGGGAUAGCCUUUCGAAAGGAAGAUUAAUACCCCAUAAUAUAUUGACUGGCAUCAGUUGGUAUUGAAAACUCCGGUGGAUAGAGAUGGGCACGCGCAAGAUUAGAUAGUUGGUGAGGUAACGGCUCACCAAGUCUACGAUCUUUAGGGGGCCUGAGAGGGUGAUCCCCCACACUGGUACUGAGACACGGACCAGACUCCUACGGGAGGCAGCAGUGAGGAAUAUUGGACAAUGGGUGCAAGCCUGAUCCAGCCAUCCCGCGUGAAGGAUGACGGCCCUAUGGGUUGUAAACUUCUUUUGUAUAGGGAUAAACCUAGAUACGUGUAUCUAGCUGAAGGUACUAUACGAAUAAGCACCGGCUAACUCCGUGCCAGCAGCCGCGGUAAUACGGAGGGUGCAAGCGUUAUCCGGAUUUAUUGGGUUUAAAGGGUCCGUAGGCUGAUGUGUAAGUCAGUGGUGAAAUCUCACAGCUUAACUGUGAAACUGCCAUUGAUACUGCAUGUCUUGAGUGUUGUUGAAGUAGCUGGAAUAAGUAGUGUAGCGGUGAAAUGCAUAGAUAUUACUUAGAACACCAAUUGCGAAGGCAGGUUACUAAGCAACAACUGACGCUGACGACGACAAGCGUGGGGA
rnacentral:rRNA from 1 species